UCGCCCUUAUUAGAUACCCUGGUAGUCCACGCUGUAAACGAUGGAUACUAGGUGUCGGUGGGACUGACCCCCUCCGUGCCGCAGUUAACACAAUAAGUAUCCCACCUGGGGAGUACGAUCGCAAGGUUGAAACUCAAAGGAAUUGACGGGGGCCCGCACAAGCGGUGGAGUAUGUGGUUUAAUUCGAAGCAACGCGAAGAACCUUACCAGGGCUUGACAUCCCGGCGACCGGCUUAGAGAUAAGCUUUUCCCUUCGGGGACGCCGGUGACAGGUGGUGCAUGGUUGUCGUCAGCUCGUGUCGUGAGAUGUUGGGUUAAGUCCCGCAACGAGCGCAACCCUUAUUGUUAGUUGCUACGAAAGAGCACUCUAGCGAGACUGCCGUUGACAAAACGGAGGAAGGCGGGGACGACGUCAAAUCAUCAUGCCCCUUAUGUCCUGGGCUACACACGUAAUACAAUGGUGGUCAACAGAGGGAGGCAAGACUGCGAAGUGGAGCAAAUCCCUAAAAGCCAUCUCAGUUCGGAUUGCAGGCUGCAGCUCGCCUGCAUGAAGCUGGAAUUGCUAGUAAUCGCGGAUCAGCAAGCCGCGGUGAAUACGUUCCCGGGCCUUGUACACACCGCCCGUCACACCAUGGGAGUCGGUAACACCCGAAGUCGGUAGCCUAACCGUAAGGAGGGCGCCGCCGAAGGUGGGAUUGAUGACUGGGGUGAAGUCGUAACAAGGUAAC
rnacentral:rRNA from 1 species